rnacentral:rRNA from 1 species
GAUGAACGCUGGCGGCGUGCCUAAUACAUGCAAGUCGAGCGAUUGGAUUAAGAGCUUGCUCUUAUGUAGUUAGCGGCGGACGGGUGAGUAACACGUGGGUAACCUGCCCAUAAGACUGGGAUAACUCCGGGGAACCGGGGCUAAUACCGGAUAACAUUUUGAACCGCAUGGUUCGAAAUUGAAAGGCGGCUUCGGCUGUCACUUAUGGAUGGACCCGCGUCGCAUUAGCUAGUUGGUGAGGUAACGGCUCACCAAGGCAACGAUGCGUAGCCGACCUGAGAGGGUGAUCGGCCAAACUGGGACCGAGACACGGCCCAGACUCCUACGGGAGGCAGCAGUAGGGAAUCUUCCGCAAUGGACGAAAGUCUGACGGAGCAACGCCGCGUGAGUGAUGAAGGCUUUCGGGUCGUAAAACUCUGUUGUUAGGGAAGAACAAGUGCUAGUUGAAUAAGCUGGCACCUUGACGGUACCUAACCAGAAAGCCACGGCUAACUACGUGCCAGCCGCCGCAGUAA